UUGAACGCUGGCGGCAUGCUUUACACAUGCAAGUCGAACGGCGGCGGGGGCUUCGGCCUGCCGGCGAGCGGCGAACGGGUGAGUAACAUAUCGGAACGUACCCUAUCGUGGGGGAUAACACAUCGAAAGAUGUGCUAAUACCGCAUACGACCUGAGGGUGAAAGCGGGGGAUCGCAAGACCUCGCGCGACAGGAGCGGCCGAUAUCAGAUUAGCUAGUUGGUGGGGUAAAGGCUCACCAAGGCGACGAUCUGUAGCUGGUCUGAGAGGACGACCAGCCACACUGGAACUGAGACACGGUCCAGACUCCUACGGGAGGCAGCAGUGGGGAAUUUUGGACAAUGGGCGCAAGCCUGAUCCAGCAAUGCCGCGUGCAGGAUGAAGGCCUUCGGGUUGUAAACUGCUUUUGUACGGAACGAAAAGACUCCUUCUAAUAAAGGGGGUUCAUGACGGUACCGUAAGAAUAAGCACCGGCUAACUACGU
rnacentral:rRNA from 1 species